UUUGAAAUACCGGUUUCCGUAUGAUCACUGAAGUUAAGCAAUGUCGAGCCUGGUCAGUACCUACAUGGGUGACCGCUUGUGAAUACCAGGUAC